UAUAUACUCCUUCCGUCUAGAAUUACUUGUCAUAGAAAUAGAUUGAUCUAGACCUAUUUUUAGUUCUAGAUACAUCCAUUUUUAGCCAUUUCUGCGACAAGUAAUUCAAGACGGAAGUAACCC
rfam:Triticum aestivum genome assembly, contig: Triticum_aestivum_CS42_TGACv1_scaffold_591944_7BS